AAAAGGGAAACCAUUCGUUGAUGCAUAACUUACAGAAAUAACUCAUUAAGGAACUCAGUAAAACUUGAGAGUGAGAAACAAAUAACAGGAAUUAAGAACUUAGUUCAUGAAUAAAAUAAGGAAAGUAAAGGCUAAUAUCAACAACAAAUAGCCUAAUCCAUGCAAGUACUGAAGAUGAAAACAAUUACUCAGUAACACAACAUGAUCCAAAAGAUAAACACCUACCAAAACUAAUUAGGGUAUCAGGGAAUGAAAUAAAUGAAAAUCAGGAGAUGAAUAUCAACAAACAUUACUGAAGAAUCAUCAAA
rnacentral:lncRNA from 1 species